rnacentral:rRNA from 1 species
UGGGGAAUAUUGCACAAUGGGCGCAAGCCUGAUGCAGCAACGCCGCGUGAACGAUGAAGGUCUUCGGAUCGUAAAGUUCUGUUGCAGGGGAAGAUAAUGACGGUAUCAUAGGAGGAAGCCCCGGCUAAAUACGUGCCAGCAGCCGCGGUAAUACGUAUGGGGCUAGCGUUGUUCGGAAUUAUUGGGCGUAAAGGGUACGUAGGCGGUCUAUUAAGUCAGGUGUGAAAGCGUGAGGCUUAACCUCAUUAAGAACUUGAAACUGAUAGACUUGAGUGAAGGAGAGGAAAGUGGAAUUCCUAGUGUAGCGGUGAAAUGCGUAGAUAUUAGGAGGAAUACCGGUGGCGAAGGCGACUUUCUGGACUUUUACUGACGCUCAGGUACGAAAGCGUGGGGAGCAAACAGG